rnacentral:rRNA from 1 species
AGUGAACGCUGGCGGUAGGCCUAACACAUGCAAGUCGAACGGCAGCACAGUAAGAGCUUGCUCUUACGGGUGGCGAGUGGCGGACGGGUGAGGAAUACAUCGGAAUCUACUUUUUCGUGGGGGAUAACGUAGGGAAACUUACGCUAAUACCGCAUACGACCUACGGGUGAAAGCAGGGGAUCUUCGGACCUUGCGCGAUUGAAUGAGCGGAUGUCGGAUUAGCUGGUUGGCGGGGUAAAGGCCCACCAAGGCGACGAUCCGUAGCUGGUCUGAGAGGCUGAUCAGCCACACUGGAACUGAGACACGGUCCAGGCUCCUACGGGAGGCAGCAGUGGGGAAUAUUGGACAAUGGGCGCAAGCCUGAUCCAGCCAUACCGCGUGGGUGAAGAAGGCCUUCGGGUUGUAAAGCCCUUUUGUUGGGAAAGAAAAGCAGCAGGUUAAUACCCCGCUGUUCUGACGGUACCCAAAGAAUAAGCACCGGCUAACUUCGUG